rnacentral:rRNA from 1 species
AGCAGUCGCCGCGGUAAUACGGAGGGUGCAAGCGUUAAUCGGAAUUACUGGGCGUAAAGCGCACGCAGGCGGUCUGACAAGUCAGAUGUGAAAUCCCCGGGCUUAACCUGGGAACUGCAUUUGAAACUGUCAGGCUGGAGUCUUGUAGAGGGGGGUAGAAUUCCAGGUGUAGCGGUGAAAUGCGUAGAGAUCUGGAGGAAUACCGGUGGCGAAGGCGGCCCCCUGGACAAAGACUGACGCUCAGGUGCGAAAGCGUGGGGAGCAAACAGGAUUAGAUACCCCUGUAGUCCCUGUCUCUUAUAC